rnacentral:rRNA from 1 species
GAUGAACGCUAGCUACAGGCUUAACACAUGCAAGUCGCGGGGCAGCAUGGGGGUUGCUUGCAACCCCUGAUGGCGACCGGCGCACGGGUGAGUAACGCGUAUCCAACCUGCCCUUCACCACGGGAUAACCCGGCGAAAGUCGGACUAAUACCGUAUGUUGUCCAUUGACGGCAUCCGAUUUGGACGAAAGGCUUGGCGGCGAAAGGAGGGGGAUGCGUCCGAUUAGCUUGACGGCGGGGUAACGGCCCACCGUGGCUACGAUCGGUAGGGGUUCUGAGAGGAAGGUCCCCCACACUGGAACUGGGACACGGUCCAGACUCCUACGGGAGGCAGCAGUGAGGAAUAUUGGUCAAUGGGCGUAAGCCUGAACCAGCCAAGUAGCGUGCAGGAUGACGGCCCUAUGGGUUGUAAACUGCUUUUAUGCGGGGAUAAAGUGGCCCACGUGUGGGCUUUUGCAGGUACCGCAUGAAUAAGGACCGGCUAAUUCCGUG